rnacentral:rRNA from 1 species
CAGUCGCCGCGGUAAUACAGAGGGUGCGAGCGUUAAUCGGAUUUACUGGGCGUAAAGCGUGCGUAGGCGGCUUUUUAAGUCGGAUGUGAAAUCCCCGAGCUUAACUUGGGAAUUGCAUUCGAUACUGGGAAGCUAGAGUAUGGGAGAGGAUGGUAGAAUUCCAGGUGUAGCGGUGAAAUGCGUAGAGAUCUGGAGGAAUACCGAUGGCGAAGGCAGCCAUCUGGCCUAAUACUGACGCUGAGGUACGAAAGCAUGGGGAGCAAACAGGAUUAGAUACCCCCGUAGUCCCUGUCUCUUAUAC